AUGAUCCCCAAAAAUCCUCCCAAAAUCCCCUCAAAAUUCCCAAAAAUCUGCAUGAAAUCCUCCCAAAAUCCUUCCAAAAUCCUUCCAAAAUCCCCCCAAAAUUCCCAAAAAUCCACACGAAAUCCUCUUCAGAAUCCCCUUCGGAAUUCCCAAAAAUCUUCCCAAAAUCCUCCCAAAAUUCCCAAAAAUCCGCACGAAAUCCUUCCAAAAACCCCCAAAAUUCCCAAAAUUCUUCGGGAUUUUGUGUGGAAUAAAAUAAUGGAUGAACAGCCACGAGUGGGUUUGGAACUGGGAGGGACUGGGAUGAACUGGGAUGGACUGGUUUAUACUGGGAGGGACUGGGACCAGUUUGGGGCUGGAACUGGGACCAGUUUGGGGCUGGAACUGGGACCAGUAUGGAACUGGAACUGGGACCAGUUUGGGGCUGGAACUGGGACCAGUUUGGGGCUGGAACUGGGACCAGUUUGGGGCUGGAACUGGGACCAGUAUGGAACUGGAACUGGUACCAGCAUGGAACUGGAACUGGGACCAGUUUGGGGCCGGAACUGGGACCAGUUUGGGGCUGGAACUGGGACCAGUAUGGAACUGGAACUGGGACCAGUUUGGGGCUGGAACUGGGACCAGUUUGGAACUGGAACUGGGACCAGUUUGGAACUGGAACUGGGACCAGUAUGGAACUGGAACUGGGACCAGUUUGGGGCUGGAACUGGGACCAGUUUGGAACUGGAACUGGGACCAGUAUGGAACUGGAACUGGGACCAGUAUGGAACUGGAACUGGGACCAGUAUGGAACUGGAACUGGGACCAGUAUGGAACUGGAACUGGGACCAGUAUGGAACUGGAACUGGGACCAGUAUGGAACUGGAACUGGGACCAGUAUGGAACUGGAACUGGGACCAGUUUGGGGCUGGAACUGGGACCAGUUUGGAACUGGAACUGGGACCAGUUUGGGGCUGGAACUGGGACCAGUUUGGAACUGGAACUGGGACCAGUUUGGGACUGGAACUGGGACCAGUAUGGAACUGGAACUGGGACCAGUUUGGAACUGGGACUGGGACCAGUAUGGAACUGGAACUGGGACCAGUAUGGAACUGGAACUGGGACCAGUAUGGAACUGGAACUGGGACCAGUUUGGGGCUGGAACUGGGACCAGUUUGGAACUGGAACUGGGACCAGUUUGGGGCUGGAACUGGGACCAGUUUGGGGCUGGAACUGGGACCAGUUUGGGGCUGGAACUGGGACCAGUUUGGCCCAGUAUCAAACUGGGAACAGAACCCGGAAGAGGAACCGUUUAAGCCCCGCCCCCUCAGCAAGCCACGCCCCCUAGCGGCUCAAGCCCCGCCCCAGCCUCGUUCUGACACCAAGCCACGCCUAUUCCCCCUCAGCCCCUGCGCUUCCGCAUUCGUCACUUCCGCUUCCGGGUGCGCCGAGCGCGGUGAGCGGCGAUGGCGGCGGGGCCGCUCCCCCCUUAAUUAA
rnacentral:lncRNA from 1 species